rnacentral:rRNA from 1 species
UACGUAGGGUGCAAGCGUUGUCCGGAAUUAUUGGGCGUAAAGAGCUCGUAGGCGGUCCGUCACGUCGGCUGUGAAAACCUGGGGCUCAACCCCGGGCCUGCAGUCGAUACGGGCGGACUCGAGUUCGGCAGGGGAGACUGGAAUUCCUGGUGUAGCGGUGAAAUGCGCAGAUAUCAGGAGGAACACCGGUGGCGAAGGCGGGUCUCUGGGCCGAUACUGACGCUGAGGAGCGAAAGCGUGGGGAGCGAACAGG